rnacentral:lncRNA from 1 species
UUUAAUGCAAAUGUUUUCGAUGCUCAAGGCAUCAUCUUCAGGUUGAAUACAAUACACCAUUUACAUUUUUAAAUACAUAGAAUAUCAUCAUUCUGAAACAUUGUUAAGUUACCAUGGUUACAUAAAGUAAAUAAUUAUAGACAAAAUAAAAUAAAUGUUAAAAAAGUUAAACAUAUAAAUAAGCUAUACAAAGUCAAGAUUAUACUGUUAAAAUUAAAAAUUAAUAAAUUAUGAAAGAUUAACGGCCUAUCUUGUUUAGCAGGUACUUCCAUAGCGUGAUCAGCUUUUGCGCAGGGUGCUCAUUUAACAGUUUUUCUUUUUUCUCGCUGGUAAAAAUUUCCAUGGUUUCUGCUAGUGUAGCAUGCACUUCUUUUCUUAGAGUUCUUACUACUUUAGCACCAUGCCAAUUCAUUUCUAAAUCAUUUUUGUAUGCACGUAUUGCCAAGGCCGUAUUCAUUUUUCUGUUGGCGAUGUCCCUUUUAUGUUCAUAUAAUCUUUGGUUUAAUGUCCUUGUUGUUACUUCUAUAUAUGUUUCAUGCUGGUCUGUUGUAUUAUUCUUAACUGGUAUUUUAUAAACCCCAGAUUUCUGCUUGUUCUCAUUUAAGAUCUUUUUCAUUUCUAAGUUGGCUAAAAAGUGUUGGAUGCCCUUUAUAAGUUAACUUUUUAUCAGUCUGUUUCGCCAAUUUCUUAAUAAUGUUG